UUUACUGAACUGCAAUUCAACACAGCUAAUGCAUUCUGAAAACGAAGUGUUCUACUUAUCCAUCCAUCCAUCAAUCCAUCCAUCCAUCGGAUCAUUUCAAACAGUGUCAUAAUGAAGGUUAAAAAUAAUCGUUUUUCUGCAUUUAUAUGUUUGUGUGUGUGUGUUUGUAAAAAACUUUAUUACCAUUAUAAGUGAACCUCAAGGAACACAUUAAAAUAAUAAUUAAAAAAACAAAAAAAAAACAUGUCUUUAAAUAAUGAUAAAAACGAAAACCAACUCACACAUAUAGUCUCAGCAGACCUGCAGGAUUUUCUUUAUUCCACAAAGGUGAUUAUUCAAAAUUGCUGAAUGAGGAGCUCCAAUGUUUUCAUUUCAAAGCAUGUAAAAUAAUGCAGAGACAUCACUCUCUAACAAUCAUAUGCCUGAUCUACUAGUUACCCAAUUACUGUAUCUUUUAAGGACUGAUUUAGCAGUUUAUGUCAGCUUCAUACCUCCUUCUCACACACCAGACAAGUUGUGAAAUAAUAAAAAAAACAAAACCACUUUUUUGAGUCAUUUCUGAAUCUGUUGCUCACAGAAGAUUUGUAUUUUAGUGUUUGGAAGUGAGUGAAAAUUAAAAUUUGGGAAAGAGAUUUUGUCUCUUAACAUUCAUACACUGAGGCUUCGCUCACAAAAAUGAAGGUGGAUAAAUGCUUCAUGCUCAGUGUUGAGAAGGUUUAAAAUAUAUCCAUCUGUCUGUCAUUCUAACUUUCAAAUCAAGGCUUUGUCAACCAGUUUGUCUUGACACACUUUCCUUUUUUAGUUAUAUGAUAUAUAUUUCUUUUUAUUUUACUAUAAUUCUACUUCCUUGCAUUCAAAUUAUAAUUGUAAUUUCAAUGCAAAUUCAAUUUAAAUUCAUGAACUGAAAUGCAAGCCAUUCUCAAUUCAGUUCCAAAAGAUGUACAACUGUGUUACAUUUUUACAUUUUCUUAAGAAAAAUAUCAAUAUAACUCAACUGACACUCAACUAACUCAUCAUGAUGCUAAACUUUUGUGGGUGGUUGCUAGGGAGUUAGGGAGUUUCUAAGGUGUUCUGAGUGGUCGUUAGGUAGUUUCAAAUGAUCUUGUCUGAAAUGAAUCCUGCACUCAAGUCUCAGUGAUCUUCUGCUCUGUAGAUGUGGUUUGCAUCUCUCUUUCAGUGUGCACCUGUGGGAUUUUUUCACCUGUUUUAUGGUCCAUCAGGUGAAAAUGUUUUUAUUACUUAGAAAAAAAAAAAAUGUACAAAACACCAACCGUAACUAUGAUCAACAAGUGAUGCUUACCUUAGUAAACACCACUAAACAAUGACUCAAAAAGCUAAAGAAGGAAUGACUGACAGAUUAUACAGUCUACCAUCAUAGUCAAAAACAUGAACUCAUCAAACCAAACCCUGUCCCUCCAGACAACCCGUCAAACACCCCCACAUUAGAAACACUCAAAGAGAGAAACAGCUUUAAAUGAUUACAGCUCAAACUCGGACUCACAGUUCAACCAGCCUGCUAUCAGAGUGACAGAGAAGGAAAGGAAAUGAAGGAUGAGGAAGUGGCGGUAGCAUUCCUGUGGUGAUGGAGGGAUGAUGAGCUGCUCCUUGUGGCAACACUAAUACUGCAAGACAAUGCAACUUGACUUUAUGGGAACACAAACUCUCAAGCUUCAUUAAAAAGCUCUUCACUUGUGUUUUGAAGAUGAACGAAAAUCUUACGGGUUUGGAACGACAUGAGGCACAGCAGAUCAUGUCAGCACACGGGGGUCUUUGCGGUUCUGCCUGACCCUGUUCAUGAGCUCCACUCAUCCGCUGCUAAUGGGGAGCACAUUUUUCAUGGGACUGGUAUGCGGCCCAGAUGAGGGGGGUCAGGAAACAGCUGGUGACGCAGCAGUCAUAGAGCGAUCCAUCCGUCCCAACGACUCGAUUUCACUCCUGACAGUCCUAUCGCAGAUACUGCAUACACUCAUGCCUUACUCACACGCAUGACUAAUAACAGCCUGUUCCGGAAAAACUGGACAGAAACUCCUCAUGACACAACAAUGAGUUAAAUGAGAACCGCAUGAGUAAUGGGACUUUCUAGGAGCCCGUGCCAUGAAGGUUCUGCACCAGCGCAUUAGCAUACGAGAGCUUUGGAAACUGAGAUCAGCUGUUGAACAUCUGUGUGACUUACAGCCCAGACUGAUCGAAAUAUAUACAAAGUCCUACGCUUCAGAUAACUGUCAGUGCCAAUGAACUACAUCUGGCUCUGACUUCUACAAAUGUUUGGGUUGCGGUGCACUAUAUACCUUAUUUCAAUGCCAUUUUUACAAUUCUCCCUAUCUAUAUAGAUGGAAUUACAGCUAUAAAUAUAUAUCCUGGAUGGAUAAAUGCAUGGAUGGAUGA